GUGAUAUGGUUUGGAUGUCUGUCCCCUUCAAAUCUCAUGAUGAAAUGCGAUCCCUAAUAUUGGAGGUAGAGCCUGGUGGGACCUGACUGGAUCAUGGGGGCAGAUCCCCAGGAAAGGCUUAGCGCCACAUCGCCUAGGUGAUGAGGAUGUUGGACUGGUAAGGGAAGAACGCCUCGAGUGAGCAUGCGCACAACUGCAGCAAACACGCCACGCACGGCCACUCCCAAGCAUCAGUGGGCCCCCACACAUGCAGACAGCCCACCCCAAGGGAAGAAUCAGGGGAGAAGGGAUGCAAGACCCUGGAAGUAUGCCAACAUGUAAAACUCCAAGUCAAACGUCAAAAUGUGCUCUUGAUCGCUCAAGUUUCCCUCUUGGCCCUCUUCCAGUGUACUUUACUCCUUUUUCAUUCCUGUUCUAAAGCUUUUUAAUAAAUUUUCACUCCUGCUCUAAAA
rnacentral:lncRNA from 1 species